rnacentral:lncRNA from 1 species
GGUUCCUCAUGGAUCACUCCCUUCUCUCCACUACAGCAUUGUCACUAGCAUCGCUGUUGGGAACAUAUACCUUCCAACUGUUGGGUUCCUAGGGUCCCAACUACCUUCUCAAUUUUUUCUUUUCCAGUGUGAGUUGGGUGUUCCAGAUAAAGAAAGUAACAGGGCAGAGCCCACAGACCCACAAGAACAUGGAGUUCAGGGAAUGACCUGGAAGUCAGGGAUCUUGAAGACAUUCCCUGGGGAGAAGGCCCCCAAAGUGACUCUAAACCAACUUCCCCAGAGCCAAAGCCUUUAUUGUGCUUUUGCCUUAUGGAUCUGGUUGUCUAUUAAAAUAUGGACAUAUUUCUCAGGCUUUUGCUAGGAAUCUCUAUCCUGGAACUGUUGUGACAUAUCUGUCUACUAAGCUAAGUGGCUUCAUGACUCAUAGCUCUGCUUCAUGGAGAGACUGGAAGGCUACCCAGCUUGAGACACCAUCUUCCGCUUUCUCCCAGGAAAGUUAAGUGUGAGCGUCCCACCUUCCCACUACAAGCCUAACACUCUGUUACAAAGCUCAUGGGUUCAUGUCCCUACUGUUCGGGUGGCUGUUCUCACCUCAAGUACUCCAAAGUAGAAACUCCCUCAGGGAUAUGACCACAGGUUUGUCUCCUAGGCCGUCGUAGAGCCCGACAGGUUGAUAGUUCAUAGUGACCAUCACAAUGCAUCUAGGAAAGUCCGGGAAUAGAGAAGCCUGUCCUGACAUCUUGCCUACCAUGAAGUCACGAAAUCCAAUGAAAGGACUAAAAGGAUUCAGAGUGGCUGAAAGGGGAUUGCCAACCUCAAAGAGGGUAGUCUAGCUGUUUAAAACAGAGCAGAGGGCUCUGGGAAAGGAAAUGUUGUUGGAGAGAUAAGUAAAAAGCCACAGCUCAGAGAUGCCUUCUUUUAAACACAACUGGAACAGCAUGUCCUGCUCAGAUUGUUAUGGAAUCCAUGUGUAUAAGAAAAUGAUCUGAGCACAGCAAUGGCCUGAACAGAUUGAUGGGUCAAAUCUUUAAAAGAACUUUAAGUCAAAGUGUUAGUUCAGUGCAGGUAUGAGCAACCAUCAAUGGUGUUCUCACAUUCAUGCCUUCCCCCUCUGCUUCAUUUCUGCACUUGUAAGCCCCAUGCCUCUGAAAGUCCUGUGAAUCCUGAAUGGAAACUUGGUGCAAUUUCGUCUUGCCACAAAUCUUUCAGUAGCACCUUGGCAUACAGAAGAUAAAGCCCAGGUCCUUACCAUAUUGGCCCUUGGGACUUGUCCUCAUUUUCUCAAACUGAUGUUGGUGCCCAAGACCUGGGUUGCCUCCCUGCCCUUCCCCUUUCCCCUGCCCCUAUAUUUUCUGG